AUGAUGGCGCAGGCCCUGCAAGGGAUCCAGCAGCAGUAUGCGCCGAGUGGCUUGCCUGUCCAGAAACGUUAUACAAAGGAGACUGCAGCGCAAAUUCUUCAGCUGGAUAAUAUGGAUUCAGAUACUUCCCCAGUCCGACUCAUUAUCAAGCGUAAAAUUGUAACCUACCUGAAAGGAAGGGAGCAAUUCUAUAACCUGCACCCACGAUAUCUUCUGGCAGUUUCAAAAAGCAUUGAUGAGCAGCUUUAUAAGGAUGCAGAAUCAAAGAUCCACUACAUGGAUUUUGAGACUUUAGAAGUUAGGCUGAAUGCUCUUCUCAGUCGUGGAUCAUUUGGCAACAGUAGAUAUGCUUUGGCUUCUUCAGCAUCUUUACCGACAUCACACUCAGAACAGCUUGGGAUAAAAGUAACAGAUUCAAGUAUACAGAAUGGUAGAGCUGUACCUGGUUCUGUUAAUCCUCCCCCGCCUGCUAGAGACAUAUCACAUAAUGUCUUAUAUUCUCAGGUAGGAUUUGCACCAACCAGUCACCAUGAUGAAGCUGCUGCCAGCUUUGCUCAUUCAUCGGCUGAUAAGAUUAAACAGGGGCCUGAAAGCUUAGCAAACGCCACUGACGCACCAUGUGUGUCAUCACUACCAAAAUGCAGUCCCUGUAUUGCUGGAGAUUUCAGCGGUGGAGUGCCAACUGGCCAUACAAAAUACCAUUUCCCAGGCGAUGUUCAUCAAGUUGAUAGUCAACAACCAUCGACAUCGGGUAGUUCCAGUUCUGUGUCUGCGAUGUGUGAUCGAACCGCAAAUUCUACAAAUAACAACAGAUAUUCUGCUGGCCAAGUAUCAUCGUCUCUGCAAUGCAGAGAAUGCGGGAAAGUGUUGUAUACGCGGAGCCACCCAAUAGAGGAAUCAGAUCAGUCAAAUAUCACAGCCGGAAGCCACGACUUGUAUAUCCAUGACCAAUCUAAAAUUCGCACCGACAUCAAGAGAGAAUGCGGACUUGAAGGAUGCAUGCAAAUGGAUGAAACAUGUUUCUGCAGGGAGAAAUGCUCAACUUUAAACACAAAAUUCAGUUAUGACCAAUGCAGCUAUAUUGCUGCUGACUCUGGUAAUUGUGUCUCUAUAAGAGAGGCAGUGAAGGGAGCCGAACAGACAUCCAAUAGCACUGUAUCAAAGCCAACUUCCCCUACUUCGGAUGAAUCGUCUGGCAAGCAUCAUCCGGCAAAACGAUUGAGGAUCAAUUCUCCCAGGCCUGUCCAUGCUGAUAAAACAAAGUUUCCAAAGGAACUACAGCCUGCUGCCAAUGGAACUGAUGUCUCUUCUGAAACAGUACAUUCUGAAACCACAGCAUUACCUACAAAGUCGCCAUCUGGCUGUUCCUUGCUGGACAGCAAUGCUAGCAAUAACAUGGAGAUUAUUAGAUUGCCGGAGACUGCUAUGCAAGCUGAAGAAGGGUUGUGUCAUGGAAAUGGUGACAUCGAGAUGAAGGAAUUGUCAUGUUAUGGAAAUGGUGACAUUGAGAUGAAGGAAGGGUUGUGUUAUGAAAAUGGUGAUAUCGAGAUGAAGAACUCAAAGCUUAGCUCAGUGGAUCAAACAUCAUUAGUAGCCUGCUUAACUGCAACGAAGAAAAGAGGGGGUUCAAUACUUUAUGCCCUAACUGCUGAGGAGCUUAGAGAUCACAUGAAAAGUUUGAACCAACAUAUUUGUCCGAGCCAAAUGAUGACAGAAGAACACCCUUCAGGCUUGCCUGACCAAAAUACGUGCAAUUUAUGUGGGAUGGAGAGGAUUCUUUUUGAACCUCCUCCACGAUUCUGUGCUCUCUGUUUCAAAAUAAUAAAUUCGACCGGAUCCUAUUAUGUUCAUGUGGAAAACGGAAUUGAUAAGGCUUCAAUAUGUGCCAAAUGUCACCAUCUUAGUACUGCAAAAUUUAAAUAUCACAAGAGAUCAAAUUACGCGGAAACAGAUGCUGAGGCUGAAUGGUGGGUUGAGUGUGAUAAGUGCAAAGCUUGGCAGCAUCAGAUAUGUGCCCUUUUUAACCCUAAAGUUGCAGACGAGGAGGUGGAGUAUACAUGUGCCAAAUGUUUAUUGAAGGAGAGGGAUAUUGGAGAUAUAACUUUGCUGGAGUCACCUACUGUUCUAGGAGCAUUAGAGUUACCAAGAACUAAACUGAGUGAUCAUAUUGAGCAGAGACUUUCAGUGCGACUUGAGCACGAACGGCUGCAGAGGGCAAGAGCUUCAGGAAAAGACAUUGAAGAGGUACCUGGAGUUGAAGGUCUUACUGUUAAAGUGGUUUCUUCAGCUGCAAGAGUGCUUCAAGUCCAACCACGUUUUCGGGAUUUUUUUAAAGAUGGGAAAUAUCCCGGGGAAUUUCCAUACAAAUCAAAGGCCAUUCUCUUGUUCCAAAAAAAUGAAGGUGUGGAUGUUUGUCUAUUUGCCAUGUAUGUACAAGAGUAUGGUUCUGAUAGCCCAUUACCAAAUCGGAGGCACGUUUAUCUUGCAUAUAUCGAUUCUGUCAAGUACUUCAGGCCUGAAAUCAAAUCUGCAAGUGGGGAAGCUCUCCGAACCUUUGUGUACCAUGAGAUUUUGAUUGGCUAUUUAGAUUACUGCAAGAAAAUAGGAUUUGUAAGCUGCUCCAUAUGGGCUUGCCCAUCUACAAAGCGUGAUGAUUAUGUUUUGUAUUGUCAUCCCACGUCACAAAAAAUGCCCAAGUCUGACAAGCUUCGGAGCUGGUACCAGAACUUGAUCAAGAAGGCUGUUAAGGAUGGUGUAGUUGUGGAGCGUAAUACAUUGUACGACUUCUUUCUUCAGCCUACCAGUGAUCGCAAGGCCAGUAUAUCUGCAGCAUGCUUGCCAUACUGUGAGAAUGAUUUCUGGCCUGGAGAAGCAGAGAGACUCCUUGAGAAGAAAGACGACAACACCUCACAGAAGAAAGAGCCACAAGUAGGAAGGCUCAUGCGUGUUGCCAAACGUGAUGACAGGAAAGGAAACCUUGAGGAUAACCUUGAGGAUAUCUUGCUAGUGCACAAACUUGGAGAAAAGAUGCGAACAAUGAAAGAAGACUUCAUUAUGCUUUGUCUGCAGCGGUUUUGCAAGCAUUGCCACCAACCUAUUGUGUCUGGUAAAAGUUGGGUUUGUACCUGCUGCAAAAACUUCCAUCUUUGUGAGCAAUGCCAUGCAGAGGAGCUAAGUGCUCCACUAAAGGACAGGCAUCCAGCUACAACAAAACAAAAGCAUGCAUUUCAAAGAAUAGAGGAAGAACCUCUUCCAGACACUGAUGAUGGAGAUCCAACAAUGGAAAGCAAGUAUUUUGACAGCAGAAUCGAUUUCUUGAAGCACUGUCAAGACAAUCAAUACCAGUUUGAUACACUCCGACGGGCAAAACACUCAACAAUGAUGAUUCUUUAUCAUCUACAUGAUUCAGCUUGUUCUGCUUGUCACCGGACCAUGGAUCAACGCUUUGCGUGGCGGUGCCUGGUUUGUGCCGGCUGCACUUUUUGCGAUUCAUGUUAUAAACAAGACGGUGAAAAAUUGCACAUUCAUAAACUCAAACAGACGGACAAUCAACAAGUAUUACCAAAUUACACUCUACAGGACUACCUUGAGGGUUUGGUGCAUGCAUCAAAAUGCUUCUGUGCUGCGCGUAGUUGUGCUUUCAAACUCUGUUUUACAAUGAAGAAGUUGUUCUUCCAUGGUGUACGAUGUGACAUCCGCAACCGAGGAGGUUGCAGGAAGUGUAUCUUCAUGUGGAAACUUCUGCUCACUCAUGCAAAACAUUGCGGUGACGGGGCCUGUUCUGUUCCCAGAUGCAGGGACAUCAAGGCAUUCUUCAUGGACAAGGCCAAAAUGAUUGCUGGGCCACCUUGUGCCGUAGAGUGCUAG
rnacentral:rRNA from 1 species